UGAGGAAUAUUGGUCAAUGGGCGCAAGCCUGAACCAGCCAAGUAGCGUGCAGGAAGACGGCCCUAUGGGUUGUAAACUGCUUUUAUACGAGAAUAAUUUGAUGCACGUGUGCGUUAUUGCAUGUAUCGUAUGAAUAAGGACCGGCUAAUUCCGUGCCAGCAGCCGCGGUAAUACGGAAGGUCCAGGCGUUAUCCGGAUUUAUUGGGUUUAAAGGGAGUGUAGGCGGUUUGUUAAGCGUGUUGUGAAAUUUAGAUGCUCAACAUUUAACUUGCAGCGCGAACUGUCAGACUUGAGUACACGCAACGUAUGCGGAAUUCAUGGUGUGGCGGUGAAAUGCUUAGAUAUCAUGAAGAACUCCGAUUGCGAAGGCAGCAUACGGGAGUGUAACUGACGCUUAAGCUCGAAGGUGCGGGUAUCGAACAGGAUUAGAUACCCUGGUAGUCCGCACAGUAAACGAUGGAUGCCCGCUGUUAGCGCCUGGCGUUAGCGGCUAAGCGAAAGCAUUAAGCAUCCCACCUGGGGAGUACGCCGGCAACGGUG
rnacentral:rRNA from 1 species